rnacentral:rRNA from 1 species
GAUGAACGCUGGCGGCGUGCUUAACACAUGCAAGUCGAACGGAAAGGCCCAAGCUUGCUUGGUUUCUCGAGUGGCGAACGGGUGAGUAACACGUGUGUGAUCUGCCCUGCACUUCGGGAUAAGCCUGGGAAACUGGGUCUAAUACCGGAUAGGACCACAUUUUGGAUGGUGUUGUGGAAAGUUUUUCGGUUUGGGAUUAGCUCGCGGCCUAUCAGCUUGUUGGUGGGGUAAUGGCCUACCAAGGCGUCGACGGGUAGCCGGCCUGAGAGGGUGUACGGCCACAUUGGGACUGAGAGACGGCCCAGAAGCCUACGGGAGGCAGCAGGGGGGAAUAUUGCAGAAUGGGGGCAAGCCUGAUGCAGAGACGCCGCGUGGGGGAUGACGGCCUUCGGGUUGUAAACACAUGUCGAUAGGGACGAAGAGCAAGUGACGGUACCUGGAGAAGAAGCACCGGCUAACUACGUG